rnacentral:ncRNA from 1 species
GUAAAGGUUUCCUACAAGGAAUUAAUAGGGAAUGCUGUGUGAAUCGGCAACAGUCCCCGCUACUGUAUAACUCUUUCCUUAUUGGGAUAAAAAUUUUCGAAAUCUUAUGCCACUAGUUUAUUGACUGGGAAGGCUCGAAGAUUAGAGUAAGUCAGGAGACCUGCCUUUACGCU